UGAGCAAUCUGCCCUUCACAUCGGAAUAACCAUUGGAAACGAUGGCUAAUACCGAAUAUGACUUCGGAUCGCAUGAUCUGAAGUGGAAAGCUCCGGCGGAGAAGGAUGAGCUCGCGGCCUAUCAGCUUGUUGGUGAGGUAAUAGCUCACCAAGGCGAUGACGGGUAGCCGGCCUGAGAGGGUGACCGGCCACACUGGGACUGAGACACCGGCAGA
rnacentral:rRNA from 1 species